GAGUAACGCGUAGGCAACCUGCCCUUUCGAACGGGAUAACCCAGCGAAAGUUGGACUAAUACCGUAUACUGCAUAUUGAUCGCAUGAUUAGUAUGUAAAAGGUUGCUCUUCGGAGCACUCACGAGAGGAUGGGCCUGCGUUCCAUUAGUUAGUUGGUGAGGUAACGGCUCACCAAGGCAGCGAUGGAUAGCUGAUUUGAGAGAGUGGUCAGCCACACUGGGACUGAGAUACGGCCCAGACUCCUACGGGAGGCAGCAGUGAGGAAUAUUGCGCAAUGGAGGAAACUCUGACGCAGCAACGCCGCGUGGGGGGAUGAAGUUCUAUGGAGCGUAAACCCCUGUAAGUAGGGACGAAAGGUAGAUAUUCUAAGAGGGUAUUUAUUUAAGGGUACCUACAGAGUAAGCUCCGGCUAACUCCGUGCCAGCAGGCCGGGUAAUACGGGGGGAGCGAGCUUGUCCGGAAUUACUGGGCGUAAAGGGCGUGUAGGCGGUUUAAUAAGUCAGAUGUAAAAGCCCCCGGCUUAACCGGGGAUCGUCAUUUGAAACUGUUAGGCUUGAGUGCGAGAGAGGGUAGUGGAAUUCCCAGUGUAGCGGUGAAAUGCGUAGAUAUUGGGAAGAACACCAGUAGCGAAGGCGGCUACCUGGCUCGCAACUGACGCUAAGGCGCGAAAGCGUGGGGAGCAAACAGGAUUAGAUACCCUGGUAGUCCACGCUGAAAACGAUGAACACUAGGUGUUGGUUCGCCGCAGGCUGAUCAGUGCCGCAGUUAACGCAUUAAGUGUUCCGCCUGGGGAGUACGAUCGCAAGGUUGAAACUCAAAGGAAUUGACGGGGGCCCGCACAAGCGGUGGAGCAUGUGGUUUAAUUCGACGCAACGCGAAGAACCUUACCUGGACUUGACAUCCCGAGAAUUUUCUGGAAACGGAAAAGUGCCUCAACCGAGGAGCUUGGAGACAGGUGCUGCAUGGCUGUCGUCAGCUCGUGUCGUGAGAUGUUGGGUUAAGUCCCGCAACGAGCGCAACCCUCGCCUUUAGUUGCCAUCAUUAAGUUGGGCACUCUAAAGGGACUGCCGGUGUCAAACCGGAGGAAGGUGGGGAUGACGUCAAGUCCUCAUGGCCUUUAUGUCCAGGGCUACACACGUACUACAAUGGUCGGUACAAAGGGCAGCGACCUUGCGAGAGGGAGCGAAUCCCAUAAAGCUGAUCUCAGUCCGGAUCGGAGUCUGCAACUCGACUCCGUGAAGUUGGAAUCGCUAGUAAUCGUGGAUCAGCAUGCCACGGUGAAUACGUUCCCGGGCCUUGUACACACCGCCCGUCACACCACGAAAGUCGGUUGUACCAGAAGUUGCCGGGCUAACCCAAAAGGGGGGCAGGCACCCAAGGUAUGGCUGGUAAUUGGGGUGAAGUCGUAACAAGGUGGCCAA
rnacentral:rRNA from 1 species